rnacentral:rRNA from 1 species
CCUACGGGUUGCUUCCGUGGGGAAUAUUGGACAAUGGGGGCAACCCUGAUCCAGCCAUGCCGCGUGUGUGAAGAAGGCCCUCGGGUUGUAAAGCACUUUCAGUGAGGAAGAACGCCUGGUGGUUAAUACCCAUCAGGAAAGACAUCACUCACAGAAGAAGCACCGGCUAACUCCGUGCCAGCAGCCGCGGUAAUACGGAGGGUGCGAGCGUUAAUCGGAAUUACUGGGCGUAAAGCGCGCGUAGGUGGCUUGAUAAGCCGGUUGUGAAAGCCCCGGGCUCAACCUGGGAACGGCAUCCGGAACUGUCAAGCUAGAGUGCAGGAGAGGAAGGUAGAAUUCCCGGUGUAGCGGUGAAAUGCGUAGAGAUCGGGAGGAAUACCAGUGGCGAAGGCGGCCUUCUGGACUGACACUGACACUGAGGUGCGAAAGCGUGGGUAGCAAACAGGAUUAGAUACCCUGGUAGUC